GAUGAACGCUGGCGGCGUGCUUAACACAUGCAAGUCGAAUGUAGCAAUACAUGGCGGACGGGUGAGUAACGCGUGGGCAACCUGCCCUUAUCUGGGGGAUAACAGUUGGAAACGACUGAUAAUACCGCAUAAUAUGGUUUGAAGGCAUCUUCUUUCCAUCAAAGAUUUAUCGGAUAAGGAUGGGCCCGCGUCUGAUUAGCUUGUUGGUGAGGUAACGGCUCACCAAGGCGACGAUCAGUAGCCGACCUGAGAGGGUGAUCGGCCACAUUGGAACUGAGACACGGUCCAA
rnacentral:rRNA from 1 species